rnacentral:sRNA from 2 species
CCCCCACAGAUGGCACUAGAGGAGUUUAUCAUACUUCUUUUGUGACCACUGUUGUUGCCACUCAUCCAACUGUCUCAACUAUUUCAUUUCCAUCAACUGUCAGUCCAAUUGUUGUUAAGUGUCCUCCUAACUCAAAAGUUCCUUUCAAUACUUCAAAGACAACACCUACAAUUGACUGUAGAGUUCCCACAACAGUGUCUAUUGGUUUCACUUAUUCAGUAACAAAAGUUGUUACAUUUAUUGGUUCUUCUACUGGAGUUUUUACAGUUGACUGCACUGUCUCAACAUCAUUUAUCAAGCCAGAUCAAACAAUUACUUCAGGAUCAACAAAUACAUCAACAACCACCCAGCCACUUCCAGUGUGGUCAACAUGGCCAGCUCAAAUAGUCACACUGAUUGAGGAGGAGGUCAAGAAGCCAGAGCCAGGUAAAACACCUUGCAACCUC